UACGUAGGUUGCAAGCGUUAAUCGGAAUUACUGGGCGUAAAGCGUGCGCAGGCGGUUAUGCAAGACAGAUGUGAAAUCCCCGGGCUCAACCUGGGAACUGCAUUUGUGACUGCAUGGCUAGAGUACGGUAGAGGGGGAUGGAAUUCCGCGUGUAGCAGUGAAAUGCGUAGAUAUGCGGAGGAACACCGAUGGCGAAGGCAAUCCCCUGGACCUGUACUGACGCUCAUGCACGAAAGCGUGGGGAGCAAACAGG
rnacentral:rRNA from 1 species